rnacentral:rRNA from 1 species
GGUUAAGCGACUAAGCGUACACGGUGGAUGCCCUGGCAGUCAGAGGCGAUGAAGGACGUGCUAAUCUGCGAUAAGCGUCGGUAAGGUGAUAUGAACCGUUAUAACCGGCGAUUUCCGAAUGGGGAAACCCAGUGUGUUUCGACACACUAUCAUUAACUGAAUCCAUAGGUUAAUGAGGCGAACCGGGGGAACUGAAACAUCUAAGUACCCCGAGGAAAAGAAAUCAACCGAGAUUCCCCCAGUAGCGGCGAGCGAACGGGGAGCAGCCCAGAGCCUGAAUCAGUGUGUGUGUUAGUGGAAGCGUCUGGAAAGGCGCGCGAUACAGGGUGACAGCCCCGUACACAAAAAUGCACAUGCUGUGAGCUCGAUGAGUAGGGCGGGACACGUGGUAUCCUGUCUGAAUAUGGGGGGACCAUCCUCCAAGGCUAAAUACUCCUGACUGACCGAUAGUGAACCAGUACCGUGAGGGAAAGGCGAAAAGAACCCCGGCGAGGGGAGUGAAAAAGAACCUGAAACCGUGUACGUACAAGCAGUGGGAGCACGCUUCGGCGUGUGACUGCGUACCUUUUGUAUAAUGGGUCAGCGACUUAUAUUCUGUAGCAAGGUUAACCGAAUAGGGGAGCCGAAGGGAAACCGAGUCUUAACUGGGCGUUAAGUUGCAGGGUAUAGACCCGAAACCCGGUGAUCUAGCCAUGGGCAGGUUGAAGGUUGGGUAACACUAACUGGAGGACCGAACCGACUAAUGUUGAAAAAUUAGCGGAUGACUUGUGGCUGGGGGUGAAAGGCCAAUCAAACCGGGAGAUAGCUGGUUCUCCCCGAAAGCUAUUUAGGUAGCGCCUCGUGAAUUCAUCUCCGGGGGUAGAGCACUGUUUCGGCAAGGGGGUCAUCCCGACUUACCAACCCGAUGCAAACUGCGAAUACCGGAGAAUGUUAUCACGGGAGACACACGGCGGGUGCUAACGUCCGUCGUGAAGAGGGAAACAACCCAGACCGCCAGCUAAGGUCCCAAAGUCAUGGUUAAGUGGGAAACGAUGUGGGAAGGCCCAGACAGCCAGGAUGUUGGCUUAGAAGCAGCCAUCAUUUAAAGAAAGCGUAAUAGCUCACUGGUCGAGUCGGCCUGCGCGGAAGAUGUAACGGGGCUAAACCAUGCACCGAAGCUGCGGCAGCGACACUGUGUGUUGUUGGGUAGGGGAGCGUUCUGUAAGCCUGUGAAGGUGUACUGUGAGGUAUGCUGGAGGUAUCAGAAGUGCGAAUGCUGACAUAAGUAACGAUAAAGCGGGUGAAAAGCCCGCUCGCCGGAAGACCAAGGGUUCCUGUCCAACGUUAAUCGGGGCAGGGUGAGUCGACCCCUAAGGCGAGGCCGAAAGGCGUAGUCGAUGGGAAACAGGUUAAUAUUCCUGUACUUGGUGUUACUGCGAAGGGGGGACGGAGAAGGCUAUGUUGGCCGGGCGACGGUUGUCCCGGUUUAAGCGUGUAGGCUGGUUUUCCAGGCAAAUCCGGAAAAUCAAGGCUGAGGCGUGAUGACGAGGCACUACGGUGCUGAAGCAACAAAUGCCCUGCUUCCAGGAAAAGCCUCUAAGCAUCAGGUAACAUCAAAUCGUACCCCAAACCGACACAGGUGGUCAGGUAGAGAAUACCAAGGCGCUUGAGAGAACUCGGGUGAAGGAACUAGGCAAAAUGGUGCCGUAACUUCGGGAGAAGGCACGCUGAUAUGUAGGUGAAGUCCCUCGCGGAUGGAGCUGAAAUCAGUCGAAGAUACCAGCUGGCUGCAACUGUUUAUUAAAAACACAGCACUGUGCAAACACGAAAGUGGACGUAUACGGUGUGACGCCUGCCCGGUGCCGGAAGGUUAAUUGAUGGGGUCAGCGCAAGCGAAGCUCUUGAUCGAAGCCCCGGUAAACGGCGGCCGUAACUAUAACGGUCCUAAGGUAGCGAAAUUCCUUGUCGGGUAAGUUCCGACCUGCACGAAUGGCGUAAUGAUGGCCAGGCUGUCUCCACCCGAGACUCAGUGAAAUUGAACUCGCUGUGAAGAUGCAGUGUACCCGCGGCAAGACGGAAAGACCCCGUGAACCUUUACUAUAGCUUGACACUGAACAUUGAGCCUUGAUGUGUAGGAUAGGUGGGAGGCUUUGAAGUGUGGACGCCAGUCUGCAUGGAGCCGACCUUGAAAUACCACCCUUUAAUGUUUGAUGUUCUAACGUUGACCCGUAAUCCGGGUUGCGGACAGUGUCUGGUGGGUAGUUUGACUGGGGCGGUCUCCUCCUAAAGAGUAACGGAGGAGCACGAAGGUUGGCUAAUCCUGGUCGGACAUCAGGAGGUUAGUGCAAUGGCAUAAGCCAGCUUGACUGCGAGCGUGACGGCGCGAGCAGGUGCGAAAGCAGGUCAUAGUGAUCCGGUGGUUCUGAAUGGAAGGGCCAUCGCUCAACGGAUAAAAGGUACUCCGGGGAUAACAGGCUGAUACCGCCCAAGAGUUCAUAUCGACGGCGGUGUUUGGCACCUCGAUGUCGGCUCAUCACAUCCUGGGGCUGAAGUAGGUCCCAAGGGUAUGGCUGUUCGCCAUUUAAAGUGGUACGCGAGCUGGGUUUAGAACGUCGUGAGACAGUUCGGUCCCUAUCUGCCGUGGGCGCUGGAGAACUGAGGGGGGCUGCUCCUAGUACGAGAGGACCGGAGUGGACGCAUCACUGGUGUUCGGGUUGUCAUGCCAAUGGCACUGCCCGGUAGCUAAAUGCGGAAGAGAUAAGUGCUGAAAGCAUCUAAGCACGAAACUUGCCCCGAGAUGAGUUCUCCCUGACCCUUUAAGGGUCCUGAAGGAACGUUGAAGACGACGACGUUGAUAGGCCGGAUGUGUAAGCGCAGCGAUGCGUUGAGCUAACCGGUACUAAUGAACCGUGAGGCUUAACCUU